GAUGAACGCUGGCGGCGUGCCUAAUACAUGCAAGUCGAGCGAACGGACGAGAAGCUUGCUUCUCUGAUGUUAGCGGCGGACGGGUGAGUAACACGUGGAUAACCUACCUAUAAGACUGGGAUAACUUCGGGAAACCGGAGCUAAUACCGGAUAAUAUUUUGAACCGCAUUGUUCAAAAGUGAAAUACGGUCUUGCUGUCACUUAUAGAUGGAUCCGCGCUACAUUAGCUAGUUGGUAAGGUAACGGCUUACCAAGGCAACGAUGCAUAGCCGACCUGAGAGGGUGAUCGGCCACACUGGAACUGAGACACGGUCCAGACUCCUACGGGAGGCAGCAGUAGGGAAUCUUCCGCAAUGGGCGAAAGCCUGACGGAGCAACGCCGCGUGAGUGAUGAAGGUCUUCGGAUCGUAAAACUCUGUUAUUAGGGAAGAACAUAUGUGUAAGUAACUGUGCACAUCUUGACGGUACCUAAUCAGAAAGCCACGGCUAACUACGUG
rnacentral:rRNA from 1 species